UUGCCUCAGUAACGGCGAGUGAAGCGGCAACAGCUCAAAUUUGAAAUCUGGCGUCUUCGGCGUCCGAGUUGUAAUUUGUAGAGGAUGCUUCUGGGCAGCCACCGGUCUAAGUGCCUUGGAACAGGCCGUCAUAGAGGGUGAGAAUCCCGUAUGUGACCGGAAGGGCACCCUCCACGUAGCUCCUUCGAAGAGUCGAGUUGUUUGGGAAUGCAGCUCAAAAUGGGAGGUAAAUUUCUUCUAAAGCUAAAUACCGGCCAGAGACCGAUAGCGCACAAGUAGAGUGAUCGAAAGAUGAAAAGCACUUUGGAAAGAGAGUUAAAAAGCACGUGAAAUUGUUGAAAGGGAAGCGCUUGCAACCAGACUUGCCUGCGGUGUUCCGCCGGUCUUCUGACCGGUUCAUUCGCCGCCUGCAGGCCAGCAUCGUUUGGGGCCGCCGGAUAAAAGCGUCGGGAAUGUGGCUCCCCUCGGGGAGUGUUAUAGCCCGGCGUGCAAUACGGCGCGUCCCGAGCGAGGUCCGCGCUUCGGCUAGGAUGCUGGCGUAAUGGUUGUAAGCGGCCCGUCUUGAAACACGGACCAAGGAGUCUAACAUCUAUGCGAGUGUUCGGGUGUCAAACCCCUACGCGUAAUGAAAGUGAACGGAGGUGGGAACUUUUUGUGCACCAUCGACCGAUCCUGAUGUCUUCGGAUGGAUUUGAGUAAGAGCAUAGCUGUUGGGACCCGAAAGAUGGUGAACUAUGCCUGAAUAGGGUGAAGCCAGAGGAAACUCUGGUGGAGGCUCGCAGCGGUUCUGACGUGCAAAUCGAUCGUCAAAUUUGGGUAUAGGGGCGAAAGACUAAU
rnacentral:rRNA from 1 species